GUCACAGCCAGGCAGCUGUAGCCGGAACCCAAACCUCCAUCGGCCUCAUCUGCCGUCCCUGAAGCUUCUCCGGUGAUAGCAGUGACUCAAGAGGCUUUUUCCGAGGUUCAGGGAGCAGGACCCCCAAGGAGGGGGUCCCUGAGGUCAAGGACUUCUAGGAGCGAUGCCUGCAGCCCUCCAUCGCCAGUGCAACACCUGCGGGAAUGAGGACUGCCUGUUGCUCCAUAUUUGGGACCCCAGGGCAAGAAGCCCACCCAUCAGGAGUGCCAAUACCUCCACCUACCUGUGGCCCCAUCCUCCCAGAUGCCCAACUGCCCAUAUGAUCAUGUGGACGAUUCCCAUGAGGCUACAGAGACACCCUUUGCCACCUGCUCUAUACUGGCCAUCUCCUGUCAGAUUUGCCUCCUGGACCGUCUCUGCCAGAACUGGAUAAGGUAUGGAUGUGACUUUCAAUCCUCUGAAGAGUGUGGCUGAGCCCUGGACCAGCUGAAAAUCCCCCAGGCUCUGCCAGCCUCACGGCCCAGGUGGGCUUCCUAUGGCUAGAUAUUCGGGCCUCACAGCAGCUGUGCCAGGCCCACAUUUUCUACACGCACCUUGAGGAUCUCAAGUCAAUGGGGCCAAAGCUCCAGUGUCAACAUUGCAAACUCGAGCUCCUGCUGAAAUCCCAGCACCAGGUGGAGCAACACCUGGAGAGCUGGUGCUAGCUGCAGAGGUGCAACCCCUGAGAACACUGGACACAACACCGUCCACGGCUCCGGCAUCACCCUUCACGGGAGCAGCGAUGGAUGAGCUCGAGCCAGCCCAGGCCCCGUGGGAACCUCCAGCCCUCCUGCUCCAGCCAGGGCUUCAUACAGGAAGUGA